GCCUUUCAGAAGAAGCAAUCCAGAUUUUUUAAAAUUUAUUUAUAUCUUGCAUUUUUCAAUCUUUCAAGAACCAUCUUUCUUGAACGGUGAAUGUGAAAAUCAUCAAUAUCAUACCUGACCUCCGUGUUAUCAUCAGUAACAACAUAUUAAAGUUUGAAAAGUUGAAUGAUUGAACGAUUCACGAGUUAAUGCAUGGACACGACUGGAAACACCACUUUUUAAAUCUUUCAAGAAGCAUACCUCAUGAUCAGAAACAGUAAAAAUCGUCAAUAUCAAAUUGACCUCCAUUUUGGCAUCAGUAACGACAAAUUAAUAUUUU
rnacentral:lncRNA from 1 species